rnacentral:lncRNA from 1 species
AUGUUCAAGGUAAUUCAGAAGGGUCCGUGGGGCCAGCCAGCCGGAGCUUGUUCACCUUCAGAGUCUGUGCAGCACCGAAAAAGGACUCACCUCCCAAAACUUCCGUGAAGGUUGACGAGCUUUCGCGAGGGCAAAUCGCAGUGUGUGGAGGAGUCAAGGAACCAGCUUGAAGAAAGCUUCUCACAGCUCCGACACUUAUUGCGAGCCAUACACAAGCUGGUGUCAGGACACGUACUCCCAAAGUAAGCCCAAGAUGCAAAGUUUGGUUCAGUGGGGGUUAGACAGCUAUGACUAUCUCCAAAAUGCACCUCCUGGAUUUUUUCCGAGACUUGGUGUUAUUGGUUUUGCUGGCCUUAUUGGACUCCUUUUGACUAGAGGUUCAAAAAUGAAGAAGCUAGUGUAUCUGCCUGGUUUCAUGAGAUUAGCUGCCUCCCUGUAUUAUCCACAACAAACCAUCGUGUUUGCCCAGGUCAGUGGGGAGAGAUUAUAUGACUGGAGUUUAAGAUUUGUGGAAGGAGAACUUUCAAAAGCCAGGAAAUGUGAAGAAUUCACCUGGAACUAAGUAG